rnacentral:lncRNA from 1 species
UUGGCAAAAUACACAAAAUAAUAACCUAAACCUAGACUCUACAUAUAAGAACGCCUAAAUCAGCAAAAGGGAACUAACGCCUAAUACAUUGAAGAAGAGAUCAGAAAUGAGCGCAGCAAUACACAUAUAGAGAGACCCCCCUGUAUCUCGCCCCUUGACAGAAGAAAAAGAGCCAUUUCAAUGGCUUCUUCUUAACAAACACCAGCGAAACCUCACUUCCUUCAACAUCCGAUCUUCCCCACCCAUGAAAUUGCACCUUAGAAUUUCCUGAACCAUCACCCUAAUCUCUAAGGCAUACAUAAAAUCGACUAUGAACCAUAGGAGGAGAAGAGGAAACCGAAAAAUCCCUUCCUCUAGGCCUACUACUACCUCCAAUUUUUCAAAAUCAAAGACCCUCAAACUCUGAUUUUCCAACAUUCAAACAUACACACACACACACACACACGGACAGAAGCAGUGACGAGAAGGAGAGAUCAGUGAGGUGUCCGAUUCAAGGUUCUGUCCGCGGAUCUGAUUCGUCGCCAAGGCUCGACGUUCGCUGCUGUGUUAUCCGGCUUGUCGGAGGUUUUUGUUUGUUAAUACAUUGAAGAAAGGUUAGCACAAUUUUAUACACAGUUGAAUUUAAUUGCGUAUGGUUCCUACUGGAUUCCACUUGUUCAUGAACUCAUUCUGUUUAAGUUAAGAGGAAUUGAACUCCAGAUAAAUCGUGAUUUCAUUACUCAUUUUAUAUGAUUCUUCUGUCGGAUUUGUGCAUCCUCAUGCUAGCAUAGCAAUAUAUGUUGAUUGCUCUCAUUAUUUGAUGAAGUAUUCCAUAAAUGGACUAAAGAGAAUUGUGGCAUCAUAUGCUCUAUUUUUUUAGCUUGUUAGUUUCCUGUAAUUGAUCCUGUUAUGUCAUGGUCUGAUUGAAUUUAAAUUCAGAUCUAAAUGCACUCAUUAUAUUCUGUAUUGCCAAGUGAUUACCAUAGUAAUUAAGGAUGGAGAAGGACUCAUGUGAUUGAGUAUUUGGUCGUGUUUUCGUUGUUCUUUUGUUAUGGUUGAUCUGUUUUGCUCGAUUUUUAUUAAGAUGGAAUGGUGGUUGAUUUGUUGUCCUAGUAGAAUUCUGGCGGAUUUGUGUUUUACUGUGGGAUUUUGGCAAGAUUGUUCUAUUCUCUCAUCAUGUUGAGUUGGUCAUAAAGUUUUGAGAUGAAACAUAAGUCGAGUUUCUUAGAGUUGAGCUAUUUUAUAUUGGUCAUAAAGUUGCUCAAAUUUGAGUUAUUUGAUAUUGGUCAUUCUAUUGUCAAUCUUUUCCUGGGUUGGAGUAUUGAAUAUUCUUUGGUGUCUGACUUCUUAAACGAAAAAUGCUAGGCAACCGUGGUUUGAGAUGAAACAUAAGUCAAGAUCUGUUUAUUUUGAAUUCGCUAGGAGCAUGUUUAGGCCGUCGAAACGUGAAUAGAUGAACCUCUGGGCACGUUUAUAAUAACAAUUACCAUAGCUACGGGUACGGUUCCCGUGACGUAGUUGUGAUACUUAAUACCUAACUAGUUAAAUAUGAAUAUCUGUAGUUCAUUAAGUUGAAUGCUUUUCCUUUAGAAUUCGAGGCGUGCCAUUUAAUUGAAUUUUUAUGGCCCUCGCAAAUUUAAAAACGCGUAGUUGCUUUAGGCGCGUUAUUUUAAUAAAUUACCUUCUUAAUCUCGGGUGCGCAUUCAUGUGACCCAAAUCCAAAUCUCAACAAUGUUAGAUAAAAUAUGUCGAGGACCGCGGGUGCAUUUAUGUGACGUGGUUCAAGACGUGUUUUAAUAACAUUGCAAUCUUCCUAAAAAUGAAUAAAAGCAGUUAAUAAGUUAAAAUUGAACUAUAGGCUAAAACAUGUGUUAAGAUCAGAUAAUAGGCCAACAAUAACAGGUGAGCGACCGUGCUAGCACCAAGGGAUCCGGAAUGCCUAACACCUUCUCCCGGGUUAACAGAAUUCCUUACCCGUAAUUUUUGUGUUCGCGGACGGUAAUACAGAGUCAANNNNNNNNNNNNNNNNNNNNNNNNNUUUCGAUUGUCACUUUAAAUUGGAAAAAACUCUUUUAUACCCUUCUAGGGUGUAGGUAAAAAGGAGGUGUGACAACAAUCAUUACUCACCUCGAACCGGUCAAAGCUCUAGCUCGCGACGCCUUUGCCCCUUGAAUCGGCCUCCACUCGCGUCAACUAUAUCCAAAAUCAGAACGAGGACGUCAAAAUAUGCUAAGGGAACGAAGCCCAAACGAAAAUAAUCAAAAUACAACACAAAUCCCGAAAUUAUCAAAACCCGACCCCCGGGACCAUGUUUCGGAAUUCAAUAAUUUUUACAUCAAUAGAUUCCUUAUGUCCCCACGAGUUCAUACAUAUCAAAAGUUCUCAAAUUCAACCUCAAAUGGUCCUUCAAAUCCUCAAGCAAAGGUCUAAGUUUCCAAGCCCUAGUUUCCCCAAUUUUAGCCCUUAAAUUCCCUUACUCAUAGCUCUAAUCCGUGAAAUAAUAGCAUAGGAACGAGUUUUAGGUCCAAAUUCCUUACCUCAAUGAAGUUCCCUUUAAAUCCCUCUUUCAAAUCGUCCAAAAAGCUCCAAAACCGAGUUAAAAAUGGUGAAAUAGCUCAAAAUUCGCGAAGGUCACAAUUUAUACUUUUUGCCCAGACAUUAUUGCAUAUGCGGUCCUUUAACCGCUUCUGCGGUACCGCAUAUGCGAUCCUUCCUACGCUUCUGCGGAAAUCACUUAACUGGUCAACAAUCGCAUCUGCGACCACACCCCCGCAUCUGCAAUGUCGCAGAUGCGGCCACCCUAACCGCUUCUGCGGUCGCUGCUCAUCAGGACUCUUUUCGCUUCUGCGACAAAUCAACUGCACAUGCGGCACCACACCUGCGGUCCCCAAUCCGCAGGUGUGAAGAUACCAGAAGCAGCAAAAUCAGCAACUGCAACAACAUCCAAACUUGUCCGUUAACCAUUCAAAAUCACCCCGAGGCCCCCGGAACCUCAACCAAAAGCACAAACAUGUCCUAAUACCUUAUUCAAACUUGUUCCAAUCAUCAAAACACCUCAAACAACAUCAAAUCACCCAAAACAUAUCAGAUUCAAGCCAAACUUUCUAAAAUCUUCCAAAUUCCGCUUUUGAUCAAAACCUCAACCAAACCACGUCUGAAUGACCUGAAAGUUUGCACACACAUCCCAAAUGACCCAACAGAACUAUUGGAACUCUCAAAAUUCCAUUCCGACCUCUAUAUCAAAAUCUCGCCUACCAACCGGAAAUCGCCAAAAUACCAACUUCGCCAAUUCAAGCCUAAAUCUACUCCGAACCUCCAAAACUCAUUCCGAUCAUGCUCCUAAGUCCCAAAUCACCUUUGAAACUAACCGAACCAUCAGAACUCACAUCCGAGCCUUCUAACACAUAAGUCAACAUCCGGUUGACUUUUCUAACUUAAACUUCCUUAAAAGAGACUAAGUGUCUCAAACCUUACCAAAAUUAUUACGGAUUCGAUUCAACCAACCCGAUACCACAUAACACGGAUAAACAAAGCAUAAAGAAGCAGAAAUCGGGGAAAAUCGAGCGGUAACUCAUGAGACGACUGGCCGGAUCGUCACAUCAGUCCCACAGCCGCGUUCGUGAAGGUUUAGCACUUUCAUGCCCGCUCCCUUCCUUUUUCGUGUUCACGAGCACUGUAUCGCAUUCGCAUAAGAUUAACCAGCCUUUGUUUUGCAUUCACGUCCUCUGCCUCGCGUUCGCGAAGGCCAAACCAGCAACCCCAAAUAUUUCCUCUUCGCGAACGCAGGACUUCUUUCGCGUUCGCGAAGAAGGAAACCAGACACCAGCAAUCAACAACAGCUUUUCAUCCAAAUUCGAUCCGAAACACACCCAGGGCCCUCGGGAUCCCCUCCAAUCAUACAACCCAGUCCUAUAACAUAUCACGGACCUGCUCGAGGCCUCAAAUCACAUCAAACAAUGCUAAAACCAUGAAUCGCACUCCAAUUCAAGCUUAAUGAACUUUAGAAUUUCAAACAUCUAUAUUCGAUGCCGAAACCUAUCAAAUCAUAUCCGAUUGACCUCAAAUUUUGCACAUAAGCCAUAUUCGACAUUAUAGACCUACCGCAACUUCUGGAAUCGGAAUCCAACUCCGAUAUCAAAAAGUCCACUUCCGCUCAAACUUCUCAAAAACCUUCAAAUUUCUAACUUUAGCCAAAUGACUCCAAAAUGACCUACAGACCUCCAAAUCCACUUCCGAUUGCCCUCCCAAUACCAGAAUCAACAUACGAAGCUAUUCCUGGACUCGGAAUCCCAAACAGACAUUGUUAACACUGAAAUGUACUUCAUCCCAAAUUUAUGAAAUUCAUCCAAAAAUGCUGACUUCCAUGGGCGCCAAAAUGCUUCCGCGUCAUCCAAAACCUGAUCCGGACACACGCCCAAGUCCAAAGCCAUCAUACAAACCUACUGGAACCUUCAAAUCCCGAUUCCGAGGUCGUUUACUCAAAAAUCCAAUCUUAGUCAAUUCUUCCAACUUAAAGCUUUCGAAUAAGGAUUCUCUUUCCAAAUCUACUCCAAACUUCCCAAAAUUUAAUUUCGACUACGCGUACAAGUCAUAAUACCUGAAGUGAAGCGACUCAUGACCUCAAACCGCUGAACGACGUGCUAGAACCCAAAAUGACCGAUCUAGUCGUUACAAAGCUUUAGCGCUGGUAUUUUUGGAAUGUUUCCAUAAUCUUCAAAGUCACCUAAUUCGCGGUUCGUCAUGCCUUCACUCAUGGCUUGUCAGAUUCAUCUACGUGCAGCAGAAACUGGACAAGGCCUGGGAGUUGAGUAUGACAAUGCCGCUGCAGCAAAGAGCUAUCCACCUUGUAAGAGAAGCUAGCACCCCAAUAUAUGAAGCUUGGGCAGAAUCUGCGAAAGAAAGGAAAUUAGAUAGCAUAAAUAGAAUUUGAUAUCAGGUAGAAGUAAAUCCAAGACAUUACUAAUUCUUUGCUACUGCUAAUAUGAUUAUGCUUUCACUAAAGGAGAGUUGACGUCAAUUAUUAAAGACAUGACCCAUGUUUUGUACCCUCUUGAAAUUUUGAAAAGUCUUGCAUAAAUUGUCACAACUUGAGCUGCUUUUAUAGGGGGAUGAUUAGGUUAACCCUUUAGAGACCUAGACGGAGUUAGCCUGGUGAAGAUCUUAUGAGAUUUCUAUUCAAUUGUCAACUUUAUAUCUAAGGAAUGGUCUCAUUGUCCACGUGGGUCCCUUGGCUAAUUUUAACACCGUGUAUUGUAUACUGGUCCAAAGAAAGUUAGUGGAUUAAUUAAAAUGAGCUUGUAGCUAGAUUGUUGGCAAUACCAUGUUGGUUGUUGGAAAGUUGCGCAAAAGAUCAAUUAUAAUUAAACAAUUGUCUUGGUCCGCAACCUAAAAGCCAAGUAUUUUUAUGAUACGUGCAACUUGAUUUAUGUGAGAAAUUGAGUCAACUACUCUACGGGUACUUCAAGCCUCGUCUUUACGGUUGAACAAGUCACACGACAAACUUUGAAGUAAGGGACAUUUGUAGACAUGUAAAAUUAUUGAAUUUAGUCCGUACAAAAUUUGAAUUAAAUUCUAAAUCACUUUGUGUCGAAUAAUUAAUUUAUACUUUACAAAUUAAAUAAGUCCAUUUUAAUAUUUGAGCCCAAGGUCCAUUUCAUCUUAAGGCCCAGACUCAUGCCAUGUGUCAAGUGACAUGGCAUGUCCAGUCAAACCCAAAGCCAACAAGAUGAUGCCACGUGUUAAAUGAUGUGGCAAUCCAAGUCAAAAAUCAAGAACCAACCACAGGUUGCCAAAUGGCUAAAAUGACAUGCGCCAAUUAGAAUCAAGCAAGAGAGUUCAUAUGUAGUUGGAUUGUCCACCCUCUACAACUAUAAAUAGAGGGGUUACAUAACUCUCUGGGGACAUUCAGAGUUGGAGAAUAACAUUUCACAAUUGGUGAAAGUAUCCACAAACAGAGAAAUCAAUCAUCAAGUGCAUAGUUCUUCAACAAAGGAGUGAUCAACAGAGUUCUUCCCGAAUAUCAACCCGUAACAACAAAGUGUUGCUCGACGUUCUUGGCGAUUAAAUACAUCACAAGGAGGUCUACAUCGUCCACAUUCGAGAAAGACGCUUCUCAAGCCCUCGAAUCACGGAGUAUUUUAGAGAGGAGAAUCAAGGGAUAGAUAGAUUUGAACUCACAAAUAUUUAUCAACAAAAUUACUUUUUCUUCAUAUUAUUUUUGUUGCAGUUUAUUUUUUGUAUUACGAAAAUUUGUUGCGAACAGGUACUAAACUUUAAUUACUUGUAAUUAGAAGAUGCACAAAUUUUCAAUACUACCUUUAAUUUGACCAACAAGGUCAGGAUCAGGCACAUCGUUUGUUUAAAUUUAUUUUGAAAAGCUUGUUUUGCUUCAAGAAGAAGAAAUUAUUGUUAAAUCUUCACAUUUUCUUUAAUGUUCCAAAAAAUAUUUUACCAAUUAAAUAAGAAGAAAGCUUUUUUGUGUUUCGCUAGCAUUAAUUUAUCAAGUGAUUCUAUUUAUACCAUGCAGUAUGUAACUUUUCUAAUCGUGUGUUUCAAGCUAAGUAUACCUGAAAUAAAAUAAUAUCAGGUUCAACUACACCAUCCCCAGUUAGAUAGAGUCGUAAUCGGGAUUUAUGUAUUUGUAAAACAGUAGAAUAUCAAUUAAUUAUCUUAAUGCCUUGCAAGUUUAAGGGGAGUUAACAGUAUCUUUCAAAUUGACUCGAAAAUUGAACGUCUCCCUAUUUAUGUUGCUUCAAUCUGGAGAUUUAUACAACUCACGUAUAAUUACAAUAUCAUACCAUUUAAAUACAAUUUCUAUACAAUAUGUCUUUUGUAUAUUUUGUAUCUGAUUUAUACAUAGUAAAAAUAAAUUUCAUACAACUAAUUAUAUAUUAUACAACUUGUCUACAACUUAUUUACAACUUUCAUACAUUAUUUCUACCCAGUUAUAUAUAACUACAAUAUCAUACAACUUACAUAUAAUUUUUAUACAAUAUUGUUCAACUUUCAUAUAAUAUUUAAAUAAAAAUAUAUAUAUAAACAACAUAAUAUAAUUUUUCUAUAAAUUUUCUACAACUUUACUAUAAUUUCGUAAGUAUAAUGUAUGUCAUGUGUAACGACCCGGCCGAUCGUUUUAAGAAUUUACGCCAUGAUCCCCUAUUAACUGCUUUCCCCGUGUUUGUUUCUGCCAUUGUGAGUUGCCGGGAUGCUUGGCUUUGAGUUUCGGAGAGUUUUGGGACACUUAUUCCCUAAAUGAGAGCUUAAGUUUUGGAAAUUUGACCGUAGUCGGAACAAUAUAAAGUCAACCUCGGAAUGGAAUUCUGAUGGUUCCGUUAGCUCAGUUGGGUGAUUUCCGGUUUAGGAGCGUGUUCGGAUUGUGUUUUGGAGGUCCGUAGAUAAUUUAGGCUUGAAAUGCUGAAAGUUGAAUUUUUGAAGUUUCCGGUUCGAUAGUGAGAUUUUGAUCCGAGGGUCGGAAUGGAAUUCCGGAAGUUGGAGUAGCUCCGUAGUGUUUAAUGUGAUGUGUGUGCAAAAUUUCAGGUCAUUCGGACGAGGGUUGAUAGACUUUUUGAUCGAAAGCGUGAUUUGAGAGUUUUUGGAAUUCUUAGGCUAGAUCCGAUGAAAAAUUGGUAUUUUGAUGUUGUUUUGAGCGUUCCGAAGGUUGGAACAAGUUUGAAUGAUGUUAUGGGAUAUGUUGGUAGGUUUGGUUGAGGUCCCGAGGGCCUCGGGUGUAUUUCGGAUGCUCAGACGGUCACUUUUGGUCUUUGGGAGAUUGCUGGUUUUCUAGUAUUUUAGCAGCAGUGAUUUGUUCAUUGUGAUCGCCUGAGUUCAUCCGCGAUUGCGUAGAGUAAGUUGAGGCCAGGUAGAUUUCUUUGAAUCGCGAUCGCGAAGGUAGGAGUGCGAUCGAGUAGGGUGAGCAGUAUUGGUCAAAGAGCUCGCGUGGAGAGCUUUGUGUUUGCGUAGAAGGACUUGGAGUGGCAGUGAGGUGAUGGAAUUACUCUAUGCGAUCGCAUAGAGCUGGUCGCGAUUGCAUUAUUGUGCGGAAAUUGCCUUAUGCGAUCGCAUAGGUAUUUCUGUGAUCGCAUAGGGUUAAAUCUGGGUAGUAUUUAAAUAGCACAUCUGCGACCCUUCUUCAUUUUUCCACCAUUUUUGAACGGGAUUAAAGCUUUUGAGGGAGCUUUUUGAGGAAACAAAAGGGGAAUUACUUAGAGGUAACAUUUUUGACUUCAUAACUCAUUUUUAUGUAAUUAAAGUUCUAAUUGGUGGUGAAAAAAUUAGGGAAAUCAGUACAAAAUGGGGUAAUUAGGGCUUGGGAUUAAGAGACCUUAAAAUGGGUAUUUGAGGGGUCAAUUGAACUUUAAUUUUAGUGUUUUUGAUAUGUAUAGACUCGGGAGAGUGUGAGAAUUCUGAAAAUAUAAAUUUUACCCGAUUCCGAGAUGUGGGCCCGAGGGGCGUUGUGAUCAUUUUACCUAAUUUUCGCGUAUUAGCUUAGAAUUUCUUUGUAGAAUCAGUUACUUGAAGUGUUAUUUACAUUAUGCAAUUGAAUUGAAUAGAUUUGUGCCAUUUGGAAUCGAGUACUCGUGGCAAAAAUAUGGUUUCGGGUUGACUUUGAGCCGGUUCGAGGUAAGUGGCUUGCCUAACCUUGUGUGGGGGACCUUCCCCUUAGGAUUUUGUAUUAUUGAUAAUUGAAAUGCCUUGUACGUAAGGUGACGAAUGCGUACUUGUGCUAAUUGUUGAAAAUCCGAUUUUCAUUAAGUAAUUACUAGUAUGUUUCUUUUCCUGUUUAUACUACUUGCAAUUUAAGCCUGUUGUUAGCUUAGGAAAGCAUGUCUAAUUGGCUUAAUUGUCUUACUUGCUCAAACUACCUUAUUUGGAUUACGUGCAGCAUGCUAGGUUAGAAAUACCUGUUUUGCCUUGGUAUGGAACUUGAAUUGAAGUGUGUACUCUUCUGGUUGUUGCUGUGUGUUUACUUUGCGACUAUAGGACGGUAUCUCGGGAGAUCCCCCGGUAUGCUUACUUUGGGACUACGGAACGGUAUUCUGAGAGAUCCCCCUGCACAUUUACAUUAGAACUACGGGACUUCACCUGGUAGAUUUCCCCUGUAUUAAGAAUUUACAUUUGGGACUACAGAUCGGUAUUCCGGGAGAUCCCUUCGUAUUAUGAGUUAGACUACGGGACGGUAUCCCGGGAGAUCCACUGGAUAUUUAUAUUUGGGACUACAGGACGGUAUCUUGGGAGAUCCCUGGUUGUUAUCUUUGUGCUGAUCUGUAUUUCUUUCUGUGUUCACUUGGCCUCUAUAGUAGUUGUUGUUGUCUUUUAUAUCUUGUGCUACUUUUACCGUUGUACUUACUUAUACUGUUUUUUAUUCUACACUGUUCAACCUUAUAUUUUAUUUAACCUCAGUAGGGUCCUGACCUUCCUCGUCACUACCCGACCGAGGUUAGGCUUGGCACUUACUGAGUACUGUUGUGGUGUACUCAUGCCCUUUCUGCGCAUGUUUUUCAUGUGCAGAUCCAAGUACUUCCACUCAGACUUAUCACGCUUGAGACGAGGCGCUUGUAGAGACUCCGAGGUAUAUCUGCCGCAUCUGCAGACCGAAGAGUCCCUUUCUACUCUCCCUUUUAUAUUAGUCCUUCUGUACUUUUGUUUUCUUUGUUAGAUAUUCUUGGGUUAGAUGCUUGUAGACAUUAAAAGGCUUGUGAUCAUGAGAUUCCGGGUUUUGGGAAACAUUAGUAGUUUUGAGAGUUGAUAUUGUGUAUGCCAAGCGGCACUUUUAAAAAUUAUUUUAUUUCACUAUUUCGGUUUUUAAAUAUUUCUUCCGCAAAUUGGUUUAUUUUUCCUCAUUGUUAGGUUUACCUAGUCGUAGAGACUAAGUGCCGUCACGAUGGUUCACGGAGGACUAACCGGGGUCGUGACAUCAUGUCUUCUUCUUCUUCUUCUUCUUCGAGUUUCAAUCUGAAAUUCAGCCAAAAUCAAAUCUAAUCUUCACCAAAACACCCUCAAAAUUGAGAUUAUAACUCCAAACAAUAUUUCGAAUUGUUUGCAACAACACAUAAUCCAAACAAAUAAUUAUUUUUGAAAACUCAAAUUCGAAUUUAAAACUUCAAACCUUUUUAUUGGCUGUCAAUGGUGGAAUUACUACUCUCUUACUAGAAUUAGGGCUGAUCUUCGAAAGUGUUUUCUUCUUCAUUGAAAGUUAAGCAAGUAACAGGCGUUAAUGGAGGUGUGUGGUAGAGUAUUUAGAGUUUGAAUCUAUAAAAUGGAGAGGAAUUUUUGAAGAAGAUUGAAAAAAUAUAGAGGGACUUUUGAAGAAGAGUGAAAACAGGGGUUAAUAGAGAGAGAUACUGAAGAUACAUGGGGAGAGGGGUGUAUGGAGAGAGAAACAUGGGGAGAGUGGGAUAUAGACGUUAGAGUGGUUUUAGGAUUUAAUUAUUAUCAUUAAAUGCCUAAAAAUGUAUAUAAUUGGUAAUUUUGUAUAUAUUAUGUAAUUAGAUUAAAAAUUAAAUAAGGAGGAUAAUAAAGUUUCCAAUAGUGUAUAGAUAUGUAAAAAUCUCAAUCCAAAAUUCGAAGCCCACCAUCUAUAUUUUGACUACAAUUGUGGAAGAAUAGUAAAUUUUAUUUCGAUACUAUAGAAAGUUCAUGAUUCUUUGUUAUCGUCAACAUAUUCCGUUAGAAAAAAACAUAAAUAUUAGGAAAUAUUAUUAUGAAUAUAUUAUAGUUAUGUUAUAUAAGGUAAAAUUUUAAUGGAAUUCAAAGUCCUAACUAUUAGGAGUUUCUAUAUAACUCAAAAGAUUUAAUGACUAAAUUUUAGAUAAUUCCAAAUUUCAAAAUACUAAGAAAUUAAAUUAUAAUUUUGUCCAAUGUAAAAUCGAUUUUUAAAGGAAAAAAAAGGCGAACAACAUUUCGCUAAGGGCAUUCGUGUUUUUAAUAUAGUACUAGUCUUAUGGUACACACGUUGCGCGUGUACCUUGUGGCGCUAAGUAAAAUAUUUUAAAAACCCAUAUAAAUAUUAUUAAAAAAUUAAGUUUUGAGUCAUAAAAUAGAAUUUAAAGAAAAUAGUGUAAAUUUCUAAAAAUAAUGAAUGUUCUUUCUAUUUUACUAACUCAAUAAUGAAAGAUAUAUUGUUUCACAUAAGUCCACAUAGCCUUAACCGGAAGUCUAUUCCAAUCAUUCAGCUAUGCAGUAUUAUUAUUCAAAUGGAAUUUGUAUCUAAAAUUCUAUUUGUAAUAGUUAACUUUAAAUCACAAAAAAAUUCAUACAAGUUUAGACUCCACUUCAAAUGAUAUUAUCGCAUUUAAUUUACAAAUGAUGUUGAUAUAUGUCCUCUCUUAUCAUUUGGACAGCUUUGUCACAAGAACAAUCUUACUAUUACUACUCAUACUUGUCUCUAAUUUUAUAGUUAUAUCACAAUCAAAGGAAAUAAUUAAAUAAGGUAAACUUUAACGUGAUUUUUAAGUUUUAAAUAUUAGGAUUUAUACCAUAAUUCAAAUAAAGAAAAUAUUGUUAAUUUAAAUGUGACGACCUGGCUAGUCGUCUCAUGAGAUAUCGCUCUGUUUUCCCCAUUUUUGCUUCUUUAUGAUUUGUUUAUUCAUGUUACGUGGUACCGGGUUGGUCGGAUCGAAUCAGACAUAUUUUUGGUAAGGUUUGAGACACUUGGUCUGUUUUAAGGAAACUUAAGUUAGAAAAGUCAAUCGGAUGUUAACUUAAGUGUUAGAUGGCUCGGAUGUGAGUUCUGAUGGUUCGGUUAGAUUUGAAAGGUGAUUUGUGACUUAGGAGCGUGAUCGGAAUGAAUUUUGGAGGUUCGGAGUAGAUUUAGGCUUGAAUUGGUGAAGUUGUUAUUUUGGCGAUUUCCGGUUGGUAGGCGAGAUUUUGAUAUAGGGAUUGGAAUGGAAUUUCGAGAGUUGCAGUAGUUUUGUUGGGUUAUUUAGAAUGUGUGUGCAAAAUUUUAGGUCAUUCGGACGUGGUUUGGUUGGGUUUUUGAUCAAAAGCGUAAUUUUGAAGAUUUUGGAAUUCUUAGGCUUGAAUCUGAUGCGAUUCGGUGUUUUGAUGUUGUUUUGAGCAUUCCGAAGGUUGAAACAAGUUUGAAUGAGGUUUUAGGAUAUGUUGGUGCCUUUGGUUGAGGUUCCGGGGGCCUCGGGUGAGUUUUGGAUGGUCAAUCGGACCAUUUCAUACCUUGUAGAAGUUGCAGAAUUGUAGGUUCAGCUGUUGCAGAGAUUCCUUCUCUGCGAUCGCGUAAGGGGUCCUGCAAUCGCAUAGAAGCUUUUGAGGUGCAGUCCAGUUUGUUCUUCGCGAUUGCGAAGGUUGGGUUGCGAUCGCAUAGAGGUGAGGAAGUUGUUGAUCGCGAACACGUGGAGUGGGUCGCGUUCGCGUAGAGUUAAGUAAACCUGGGGUCUGGGCUUGAAUUUAUUCAUGGCGAACGCGGUAGGCAGUCUGCGAUCGCGUAGAGUUAGUUUCUUGAGCAUCGCAUUUGCAGGUGAUUGUACACAUUCUCAUAGAGUAAUUUUUGGGAGCUGAGAAUUUGUGCUUCGCGAUCGCGAUGAAAGAAAAUAGGCUUGGGCAGAAGGUUUAAAAAGUCGUCUUGUCCGCGAAUAUGGGGUUUAUUUCUUUCAUUGUUGGUCGUUUGUGGAGCUUUUUGAAGGAGAUUGAAGAGGGAUUCAAGGGGAAUCACUUGGAGGUAAGAUUCUUGGACUUAAACUCGAUUCUACUGUGAAUUCUACCUAAUAAAUCAUGGAAUCUAAGCCUAAAAUUGAGGAAUUAGGGCUUGAGAUUUAUAGCCUUUAAAUGAGGAUUUGAGGGGUCAUUUGGACUCCGAUUUCAGUGUUCUUGAUAUGUAUAGACUCGUGGGAGGAUAAGGAUUCCGGUGAUGUAAUUUUUAUCAAGUUUCGAGAUGUGGUCCCGGGGGUCGGGUUUGGCCAAUUUCGAGAUUUUUGGUAUUAUUUGAUUGUUUUCGCUUGGACUUCGUUCCCUUAGCAUAUUUUGACGCCGUAAUUCUAAUUUUGGAUAGAUUCGAUGCGAGUGGAGGUCGAUUUGAGGGGCAAAGGCAUCGCGG